UCGCGGUGAGUAACAAAUGUGGCGUCCUCGAGGCGCCGCUUCAACUUUAUCGAACCAGGGACGGCGUCAUCUCUCCUAGGCUUUGCACAGCUUGAGGUGUAUUGCGGGAAGAGCAUUCGAAUGCGAGGCGGUUGGUGCUGUUGUUGAAGUCGCGUUUGUGCAGUGCUGCUCUUUGUUUCAUCGAUUUAACCAGGUUUUACGCUCCGCGCUUUGUUCACGUGCGUGGUCGAAUCGUGUUAUGUACGUGAGUGGCGUGCAACUAGAGAUACAGCACGCAAGGACAGUCAUUAACUUUCGCGAUCCGCCGCAAAUCAGCCACGAGGCAUUUCAACGGGCACGUUCAGUGGGCUGCACGGCCGUUUUGACGAGCUGCAUUGCUGAUUCUUCGCUUGCCUGAGACUGGCAGUUGUCGAGCGGGUUGCAUCCGUUGUUACGUUGCCGAAGACAGUAGUAAAUAUGAUUUGCAGGGUGCAUGCAACGUGCCAUUUUGGUUAGAAAAGAUGAAUAAGUAUACAUGUGAUUUAACUGUCAAAGCCGGAAUGUUUGAAGCAUACAUCCCGCCCAAGGAAUGCUGGGAUGAUCUCCUAUCAGGCAGCUUGGAAGCUUCCAGACGCCGAUAUGCCUUACGUUUGGUGCAGCCGAGGUUAUGAACUGUCAAGUGGAAUAUCCCCCUUGAGGAAAACAAUUAGG